CCUAGGGCACGGUCAUUCUUCUCUUCAAAAGACAACAAGAGGUCAGAACAAGACUACGAAGAUUAUGAUGCAUUCAGCGAGAUCUUCCAAGGGAUGCUCUGACGACGAUUGUUUUAUUUAUAUUAUUUCACACCUUAUCGUUAAUAUCACAUUUUUAUUCGCUAUUUAUAUGCAAUAGGGGAGACCCUAUUUAGCUAUAAAAAAAUCAUAGCUGUUAUUUUUUCUGUACAAGUCUGUGAUGACUAAUAACGUUGGGUAAAUCAGUUCACAAUUUUGUUUUGAUAGCGAAUGAUUUUUAUCCUUCACCACGAGUAAUUAGAAUGUAUUUCACGAGUUAAUAUAAAAACAUUCUUGAAUA